rnacentral:misc_RNA from 1 species
GACAAAAUAUCCACCAGGCCUUAACAAUCGGUCGACUUCAACAAGAAAAAUACCAUCUUUCUGAUCCCAGUCAACAUGACAUUCCGCACAAUGUAUCAUAUCAAAGGAAAGAGAUGGAUAAGGCAACUGCUUUGAAUUAAAUGAUCCAAUCAUUGCGGGAAGACCUCUUUCAAGUGUCAGCUGAACUUGACUGCCAGAAGCUUCAUAGUUCGCAACACACAUGGUCAACAGUUGGCUAGAAAAGAGAUGUGCCCCAAAACUGCCAUAGCCACAUCCAAUAUCCAAAAUAGUUCGGACUCCAGCUCGUACAAAGUUUGAUUCAUUCCGCAGCCCAAUCAUUUCUGCUAUUUGAUGUGAGUAGUCUUCAAUGCUGUCAAACAUGGCAGAGUCUGACCGAAAGGAAAUCUGCUCUUCUUCCAACAUCAUCAACCUUUUUGUCAUACUUCCAGAGGAGAGUACCUCUUGAGCAGUAAUAUUAACAUUUGCAUGCCAAAUGACAUCUCUACCGGUAGGCCACCUAAGAGGAAUCUUGUAAUUAACAGGGGGAAGUACCAAGCAAUUUUGUCUUGAACCAGGUCCGCAAUGGCGGUCAACCUCCUCACCUUUAGAAAGGCCCAAAUCAAGAUUUUCUGACACAUUGAAACAUGGAAUAAAGUUCUCAGAUUCAGGAGGACAGUACUCUAUAUCCUUCACAUUUGUAGCACCAAGAGAGAGCUGUCCAAUGUCUCUCAAAUCCGAUACUACUUGCUCCUGAAGCUGCCUGUAUCCAUGGUAUAUAUGACCUCUCGACGAGGAAGUUAUCGAAAUUGUCCACCAAAAAGAUCCAGUAAGGGCAAGAAGUAUUAUGACAACUAAGCUCAGCCUGAUCAAAACCAAAGCAUACUUGAGUCUAUUUCUUCCUGUUCCAGGGCUAAAUGGAUCAGAAAGUAAGCCAUUUUCACCCAAAUUAUGUUUUGAAGGAGAAUUAUCUGGAAACAGAAUCCGGCAAAGGAAUUUGGUAGGUGAAUAAGUCAGAUCACCAGGCGAGCGAUUACGCUCCAAAUCUUCCUUUUCUAUUUUAUCUUUCAUUUGAGAGUCAUCCCAGAAAUCAGGGCCAUUAACUGAUAACCUCCCCCCACCUGACACACCUCUAUGGAGUGGCCUUGACAUGUUCCAACCUUAAACCCAAAAAUAAAUGAAACCCAAUUUCUUAAUAGCAAAAAAGCUUUCAACUUUCUAUCAAAUUCCCACAAAUCAAAGAAUUCCCAGUCUUGUUCCUGAACUUGAGCUCCCACUCUUCUCUCACAUUCGAAACAAAUUUUGGAUUGUUAAGAGAGAGAAAGAACAAAAAUAAAAUAGAGAGAGAAACAAAAGGGGUUGAGAAUAUAAUGCAGUAGAAGUAUGGAUCCAAUCACUACAGGUGCGCUCAC